AACGAACGCUGGCGGCAUGCCUAACACAUGCAAGUCGAACGAGACCUUCGGGUCUAGUGGCGCACGGGUGCGUAACGCGUGGGAACCUGCCCUUAGGUUCGGAAUAACUCCCCGAAAGGGGUGCUAAUACCGGAUAAUGUCUUCGGACCAAAGAUUUAUCGCCUUUGGAUGGGCCCGCGUUGGAUUAGCUAGUUGGUAGGGUAAAAGCCUACCAAGGCGACGAUCCAUAGCUGGUCUGAGAGGAUGAGCAGCCACACUGGGACUGGGACACGGCCCAGACUCCUACGUAAGGCCGCAGUGGGGGAUAUUGGACAAUAGGCGCAAGCCUGAUCCAGCGAUGCCGCGUAAGUGAUGAAGGCCUUAGGGUUGUAAAGCUCUUUUACCCGGGAUGAUAAUGACAGUACCGGGAGAAUAAGCUCCGGCUAACUCCGUG
rnacentral:rRNA from 1 species